CCAAAAGCUUCACUCUCUCGCCCCAUCAAUACUCUCAGCUCUCUUACCGAUUCCACAGGUAAGUUUCUCUGCUUCUUAAAAUCUGUCCUUUUUCUUUUUUCUUUAAAAUGGGUUUAUGUAGAUAUGAUUUGCUGAAAGGAAGAUUUGGGUAUGUCAUUUUUGUUCCUUUUAAUUCUUUGUUGUCUAUACUGCAUCUUCAGUUUUUUUUUUCUCUUAGGCUAACUCCUUCAAUCUCUGCUUACUAAUCUCGAUUCUUGUCGCCAUGUCUCUAAUUGCAGUUGAUGUGCCUUUUAAUUUUUUGUUUCAAUUAGUUGCUGUUGUUUGUUUCCAAAGGCCAAGGGAGGUCAUUUAUUUCUUCAGUGAUACGAGUUUACUAUGAAACUUCAAUGGAUUAACGCUCGGACUCACAUAGCAGUAUUACAACUUUAUCAUUCAUCAGUUUUGCUAAUUAAUGGUUAUUUCUUUUCGUUUAGGAAAUAUUUAUAAUAUUGUAAGAAUUAAGUAUGACAUGAAUCUCCAUUUGUGUUUACCUCUCCCCGUCUCUUCGCCUAUGACUGAAGGUGCUUGCUGUUUUGCCCAAAUGAAAAUGGAAACAUGAUACCCCACAUAACUUGUGGUUUUUUACAAAGGUAGUUUCAUAAAAACAUCUCCUGGAGUCGUGUACUUUUUAAGAAAUGAAUUACC
rnacentral:lncRNA from 1 species